UGAGUUCCCCACCCGCCGCGGCCACCCCAGUCGCGGUGGCUGCUUUGUCCAGGGGCUGAGCAGACGAGCGCGAGGACACAGCGAGGCCUUCGAAGGGUCACCCGCGCGGUCACUGCCCCAAGCUGCGGGCGGCAGGGAGCGGCCGACCGGCCCUAACCGGCCGCGGGGUCGCUGGCUGCUGAGAGAUGGCGGAGUGGGAGCUCUUAGGGUUGAGAAAUACCCUUGAGUCAUCUAAUCAGGCCUUUGAGGUCGGGUGUGACAUUCUCCAGUUAACCUGAAUUGCCGGGGUGCAGCCCUUAACACAGUGACCGAAGGAAAUGACUCCAAGGAAUAAAUAGAAAGAGCUCCCCUACUUAAAAACUCAAAGGAGAAAUCAAAUGGACACUACCUCAACCAAGUGAUCAAGGUCAACAUCAACCACCACUAUCUCAGCUAGCCGAUCAAGGUCAAUGCCAAAGCUGAGAGCAUCUUAAAGCUUGAGAAAGUCACAGCGAGAAGGGUCAUGGUGAUGGCGUGUACCUUUGAUAGCACGUGAUAAGAAUGGUCCUGCACCUCUGUGGUCUUCCAUCUGAAACCCAAAGCCCACUGUGUGAUCCUGAGAAAAGUAUCAGCCAAAUAUCAACACAGGAAUAUUCCAGAAAAUGCCAGACCAGUACUCAAAACUAUCAAGGUCAUUAAAGACAAAGAAAAAUUGAGAAACAGCUAAGAAGAACCCAAGGAGAUGCGACAACUUUAUCCGGAAUGGGAUCCCGGGAUAGAAAAAGGACAUUAGCUGGAAAACUAAGGAAAUCUGACUCAGCACGUACUUGAUAAAUUGAUAUUGGCUCAUUGUGACUAAUGUUCCACUGGUGUGGAGUAUCUGGCACCUCUCUUGAACUUCUUUGUAAUUUUUCUGCAUGUCUAAAAUUAUUCUCAAACGAUUUAAUGAAAACUUUCAUGAACAUUUAAACAUUAUCUUUUAUUAUCUUUUUCUUUCCAUAUUUUCAUGGUAAAAUUCUUAAAGAAAAUCAUACUACUAUUGGGCUGGCACUGCAGCUCACUUGGGUAAUCCUCCACUUGCAGUGCCGGCACCCCAGGUUCUAGUCCUGGUUGGGGCACUGGAUUCUGUCCCGGUUGCUCCUAUUCCAGUCCAGCUCUCUGCUGUGGCCCGGGAAGGCAGUGGAGGAUGGUCCAGGUCCUUGGGCCCUGUACCUGCAUGGGAGACCAGGAGGAAGCACCUGGCUCCUGGCUUCAGAUCGGCGCAGCGCGCUGGCCAUAGCGGCCAUUUCGGGGGUGAACCAACGGAGGGAAGACCUUUCUCUCUGUCUCUCUCUAACUCUGCAUGUCAAGAAAAAAAAAAAAAAGAAAAGAAAAAAAAGAAAAUCAUACUACCAUAAUAUUAAAGAGAAUUUUUCUAAUGGUGUCUUAUAACUUAGUUUUAGCUCUAUCACCCAUUUAUAUAUUUGGUAAAGUAACUUGAUAUUUAUAUUAUUCCUAUCCUUGAGUAUGUCAUUUUCUUUCCUUUGGAAGAAUAAAGUUUUCAAUAAUUUCUCUUAAACUUUAA